rnacentral:rRNA from 1 species
ACAUAUGUACAUGCCUACAACAUUAAUGCACCAUAUGCCAUUAGAACUCUGCAGUUAAGUGUGCUUUGGAUAUAGUAGUACUAGGAUGGGUAACCUUUGUUGAAUUGUUAUGUUAGAUGAU